rnacentral:tRNA from 1 species
AGCUAAGUGGCGAUUACUCUUAAUCAAUAGGUCCAAGGUUCGAAUCCUUGACGGCCCACCA